CUUUUUGAGACAGAAGCGCUCUUCAUAUCAUAAGACAAGCCUAAGCGGCUUUCUUCUGAUAUAUCGAUCGGAUCUCUUUUGUGAACCACUAUUUGUCCCUUCAGCUGUCAGUCUGAGCUGUGUGCUCCACUCAGAGCUGCUGAAUUUGACACCUCUGCGUCAACAGCGAGGGGAUGGAGUGGACAGUGAUGACCACAUCCUCCUCAGCCGGUGAAGCGCUGGCUGAUGGGAUAUUGAGUUCUGAAGUGUCCGUAAACAAAGAUCACACGCGGAAUAACUCGCGUCGCGGUGAUUAUCAAAUGUAUAAUAAUCAUACUACAAGUUAUGGAUGACCACCGUCGCCGUGGAGAGGACAGGACGCGCAUCUGGUCGUGUACAAGCUUCGGGCAGCGGAUAAGCGCUGAUAAUGCGUCAAAACAACAGAAGGGAGGCUGGAAUAUGAAAUAUUACAGAUGAUUGAGACAGGUAAGA